rnacentral:rRNA from 1 species
GACAGAGGGUGCAAACGUUGUUCGGAAUUACUGGGCGUAAAGCGCGUGUAGGCGGCAAGGCAAGUCGGAUGUGAAAGCCCACGGCUCAACCGUGGAAGUGCACCCGAAACCGCCUAGCUAGAGUCUCGGAGAGGAAGGUGGAAUGCUUGGUGUAGAGGUGAAAUUCGUAGAUAUCAAGCGGAACACCGGUGGCGAAGGCGGCCUUCUGGACGAUGACUUACGCUGAGACGCGAAAGCGUGGGGAGCAAAUAGG